UGGGGAAUUUUGGACAAUGGGCGCAAGCCUGAUCCAGCUAUUCCGCGUGUGGGAUGACGGCCCUCGGGUUAUAAACCACUUUAGUAGAGAACGAAAAGGAGCUAUCGAAUAAAUAGCUCUGCUGACGGUACUCUAAGAAUAAGCACCGGCUAACUACGUGCC
rnacentral:rRNA from 1 species